rnacentral:rRNA from 1 species
UUUGAUCCUGGCUCAGAUUGAACGCUGGCGGCAUGCCUAACACAUGCAAGUCGCACGCGAAAGGGGGCAACCCCGAGUAGAGUGGCGGACGGGUGCGUAACGCGUAGGAAUAUACCUGGUAGUGGGGGACAACCCGGCGAAAGCCGGGCUAAUACCGCAUACGAUCUACGGAUGAAAGCAGGGGACCGCAAGGCCUUGCGCUAUCAGAUUAGCCUGCGUCGGAUUAGCUAGUUGGUGAGGUAACGGCUCACCAAGGCAACGAUCCGUAGCUGGUUUGAGAGAACGACCAGCCACACUGGGACUGAGACACGGCCCAGACUCCUACGGGAGGCAGCAGUGGGGAAUAUUGGACAAUGGGGGCAACCCUGAUCCAGCAAUGCCGCGUGUGUGAAGAAGGCCUUCGGGUUGUAAAGCACUUUCGAUGGGGAAAAACAAGCCAGACCUAACACGUCUGGCCCUGAUGGUACCCAGAGAAGAAGCACCGGCUAACUCUGUGCCAGCAGCCGCGGUAAUACAGAGGGUGCGAGCGUUAAUCGGAAUUACUGGGCGUAAAGGGUGCGUAGGUGGUUUGUUAAGUCAGGCGUGAAAUCCCUGGGCUCAACCUGGGAACUGCGUUUGAUACUGGCAGACUCGAGUCUGGUAGAGGGUAGUGGAAUUCCGCAUGUAGCGGUGAAAUGCGUAGAUAUGCGGAGGAACAUCAGUGGCGAAGGCGGCUACCUGGACCAAGACUGACACUGAGGCACGAAAGCGUGGGGAUCAAACAGGAUUAGAUACCCUGGUAGUCCACGCCCUAAACGAUGGGUACUAGACGUUGGGAGGUUUAUCCUCUUGGUGUCGCAGCUAACGCAAUAAGUACCCCGCCUGGGGAGUACGGUCGCA